CCGGUGUACCUACGCGCUGCGCUAAGGUCAACGCUGUCAUUCGGUGUCUAACCAACCGUCAGCCGAAGGAGGCGGAGGAGAACCAGCAAGGAAGGUGCAAGAAAGAACCAGCUAAACCAGCAACAUGUCUCUGUCUAACAAACUCACCCUGGACAAGGUGGACGUCAAGGGGAAGCGCGUCGUUAUGAGGGUUGACUUCAACGUUCCCAUGAAGGACAAGCAGAUCACAAACAACCAGAGGAUCAAGGCGGCCCUUCCCAGCAUCCAACACUGCCUGGACCACGGGGCCAAGUCUGUCGUGCUGAUGAGCCACCUGGGCCGUCCUGAUGGAAACUUCAUGCCUGAGAAAUACUCCCUGGAGCCCGUCGCUGCUGAGCUUAAGACCCUGCUGGGAAAGGAUGUCACCUUCCUGAAGGACUGUGUGGGUGCAGAGGUGGAAGCUGCCUGCGCUAACCCCGCCGACGGAUCCAUCAUCCUGCUGGAGAACCUCCGCUUCCACGUCGCCGAGGAGGGAAAGGGAAAGGAUGCCUCCGGAAACAAAACCAAGGCCUCCCAGGAGGAGAUUGACACCUUCAGGGCGUCUCUGUCCAAACUGGGAGACGUUUAUGUUAACGACGCCUUCGGCACAGCUCACAGAGCCCACAGCUCCAUGGUGGGAGUGAACCUGCCUCAGAAGGCAGCUGGUUUCCUGAUGAAGAAAGAGCUCGACUACUUUGCCAUGGCUCUGGAGAAACCUCAGAGGCCCUUCCUGGCCAUCCUUGGAGGAGCGAAGGUGAAAGAUAAGAUCCAGCUUAUCAACAACAUGUUGGAUAAGGUUAAUGAGAUGAUCAUUGGUGGCGGCAUGGCCUUCACCUUCCUCAAAGUCCUCAACAACAUGGAGAUCGGUGACUCCCUGUACGACGAGGAGGGCGCCGGCAUCGUCAAAGACCUGAUGGCCAAAGCCGAGAAGAACGGCGUCAAGAUCACACUGCCCGUCGACUUUGUCACUGCUGACAAGUUUGAUGAGAAAGCUACCACCGGCACUGCCACCGUUGCUGCUGGCAUCCCCGCUGGCUGGAUGGGUUUGGACUGUGGACCAGAGAGCUCUAAGGCCUACGCAGACGCAGUAGGCAGGGCCAAGCAGAUCGUGUGGAACGGCCCAGUCGGUGUGUUUGAGUGGGACAACUUUGCUAAAGGGACAAAGAACCUGAUGGACAAAGUGGUCGAGGUGACCAAAGCAGGGUGCAUCACAAUCAUCGGUGGGGGCGACACUGCCACCUGCUGUGCCAAGUGGAACACAGAAGACAAGGUCAGCCAUGUCAGCACAGGAGGCGGUGCCAGCCUGGAGCUGCUGGAGGGUAAAGUCCUGCCCGGCGUGGACGCCCUAAGCAGUGCCUAAAGUUACCAUCAACCCACUGGUGUGUGUGGACGUGUGUGAGUGAGUGUAUGAGAGGUGAAAACAUUUCCUGUUGACCUGCUGAAUGAACGGCUGAAACACAGCAAACAUUCUCCACAGCGUCACCGUCACCUGAAACUGGGUUUAAACAGCAGGUGUCAGUGAUCUUCUCUACUUCUCUGCCUGUUUUCGCUCUGACUCGUCGGGAUUUCUGCCAUUUCUUUUAAAAAUCAUGAGAGGAGUCGUUCACCCCCAAGCAACUUUAAACACUGGCUCGUGUGCGUGUGAAUGUGUGUGUUGCUGCGUCACUUUUCCAUAGUCGCCCUGGAACAUCACUGCACCACCUUCGACAGCGUGGAUACACACAGUACAAAUAUAUAUAUUUAAAGAAACGGUUAAUGUGUAUGUAUCUAGACGUUAUAUUUCCUCUCUGUUCACAUUAACAUCGGCUCUGGUCCUCUGUCCUCUCCCGCUGUUGGUUUCUGAGCAGCAGCAGACUGAGACGUGGUGGCGAUCUCAGCUGAUCUGUCCAGGUUAAUAAAACCGUGUCUGUGUAAAACGUU